rnacentral:snoRNA from 1 species
CCUUUUCUUGGUAGGGACCAGGCAUGUUGUACCAUUUUACCUUCUGUACAGAGGCUGAGGGAAAGGGCUCUGGCCCUCUUGGAGUCAUUUCUCCGGCGAGGCAGCUUCUGUCUGCCUGUUCUACUCUCAAGCUUUGGGGUACUU